UGGGGAAUAUUGGACAAUGGGGGCAACCCUGAUCCAGCCAUGCCGCGUGAAUGAUGAAGGCCUUCGGGUUGUAAAGUUCUUUUGGUGGGGACGAUGAUGACGGUACCCACAGAAUAAGCUCCGGCUAACUUCGUGCCAGCAGCCGCGGUAAUACGAAGGGAGCUAGCGUUGUUCGGAUUUACUGGGCGUAAAGGGCGCGUAGGCGGUUUGGCAAGUUGGAUGUGAAAGCCCUGGGCUCAACCCGGGAAUUGCAUUCAAAACUGCCUUACUUGAAUUCGGUAGAGGUUGGUAGAAUUCCCAGUGUAGAGGUGAAAUUCGUAGAGAUUGGGAAGAAUACCCGUGGCGAAGGCGGCCAACUGGACCGACAUUGACGCUGAGGCGCGAAAGCGUGGGUAGCAAACAGGAUUAGAUACCCUGGUA
rnacentral:rRNA from 1 species